rnacentral:rRNA from 1 species
UGAGUAACCUGCCCUUAACUCUGGGAUAAGCCUGGGAAACUGGGUCUAAUACCGGAUAUGACUCCUCAUCGCAUGGUGGGGGGUGGAAAGCUUUAUUGUGGUUUUGGAUGGACUCGCGGCCUAUCAGCUUGUUGGUGAGGUAAUGGCUCACCAAGGCGACGACGGGUAGCCGGCCUGAGAGGGUGACCAGCCACACUGGGACUGAGACACGGCCCAGACUCCUACGGGAGCAG